GAGUUUGAUCUUGGCUCAGAUUGAACGCUGGCGGCAUGCCUUACACAUGCAAGUCGAACGGCAGCACGGGAGCUUGCUCCUGGUGGCGAGUGGCGAACGGGUGAGUAAUGCAUCGGAACGUAUCCUGGAGUGGGGGAUAACGUAGCGAAAGUUACGCUAAUACCGCAUAUUCUGUGAGCAGGAAAGCGGGGGACCUUCGGGCCUCGCGCUCUUGGAGCGGCCGAUGUCGGAUUAGCUAGUUGGUGAGGUAAAGGCUCACCAAGGCGACGAUCCGUAGCAGGUCUGAGAGGAUGAUCUGCCACACUGGAACUGAGACACGGUCCAGACUCCUACGGGAGGCAGCAGUGGGAAUUUUGGACAAUGGGGGCAACCCUGAUCCAGCCAUGCCGCGUGAGUGAAGAAGGCCUUC
rnacentral:rRNA from 1 species